rnacentral:rRNA from 1 species
AAGGAAUAUUGGUCAAUGGACGCAAGUCUGAACCAGCCAUGCCGCGUGAAGGGUGAAGGUCCUCUGGAUUGUAAACUUCUUUUAUCUGGGACGAAAACGGGAUUUUUAUCUCAGUUGACGGUACCAGAGGAAUAAGCACCGGCUAACUCCGUGCCAGCAGCCGCGGUAAUACGGAGGGUGCGAGCGUUAUCCGGAUUUACUGGGUUUAAAGGGUGCGUAGGUGGGCUUAUAAGUCAGUGGUGAAAUCUCCGAGCUUAACUUGGAAACUGCCGUUGAUACUAUAGGUCUUGAAUUAUCUGGAGGUAAGCGGAAUAUGUCAUGUAGCGGUGAAAUGCUUAGAUAUGACAUAGAACACCAAUUGCGAAGGCAGCUUACUACAUAUAAAUUGACGCUGAGGCACGAAAGCGUGGGGAUCAAACA